CGCAGCCCGGGGGACCCGGGCGACUUCCUCCCCUCCCUCCGGUUGCACGUGGGGUGGCUGAUGUAAGACCUUCCUCCGGGGGCUUCCCCGCCCACCGCCGAGCUGAGACACCCCCCCCUCCCGGCCCCCCUCGCCGGGGGCCCAGCUCGCUUGGACGUUGGCCCGGAGGGCUCGUGGGGAGAGGAGGCUGGAGAGUCCGGCUUCGGGGGUCCGUGAGGCCAGGUCCCGCUCCGGAGGCUCGGCCAUGCCAGCCCGACGCCCGCGAAAGUGGGACACGUGAAGGGGGCGCGGGGACAUGGGGCUUUCGGGUUCACCCUCCACUCCCCCGCGGUCCCCGCUGUCCUCUCGGCCGGUUGGUCUCGGAAGGGCUGAGAGGGACCCCCGUCGGGAGCGGCAUCGCGGUCGCCCCGCGUUGUAUCGCGUGGCACCGGGUGGGGUCGGCCUGCGCGGGGACGGGUGCAACUGCGGACACUUGCCCGAGCCACAGAGGAGCCCUCGGGCGUCCCCGGGUUCAGUGGACUCUCCCCGGGUUUCUAACAGUUAAAUGUCGGCUGGCAAGGCAGCAAUUAGCAUUUCUAAUGGGGCCUCGGAGUCUUACAGUUUGUCCCUGGACUUUUAUCCCAUUAUUCCUUAGGGGGGACCCCUGCGAGGUGUGUGAAUUCUUGAUGGUCUCGGUUUGGGUGAAGCUUGGCAGGUAGCCUUUGUAAUGGUCCGGUUCCGAGAACUCCCUGAAAGCCAGGGUUAGAGCAUUAAGUUUGCUUUGCAGACCUAGAGUAACAGACCUAUAUUCAGCUUAAAGUAAGUAAAUGCAUCCUAUGUCUCAUCAGAUACCGAGUUAUUUCUAAUAUAGACAAAAGGCUCCAAAGAUUGGGAACAACUUGUGAAUAGAGAAAAACAAUUCUAUGCAUCAACCUAAGGUUUUCUUAAAGAUUUCCCCCUCCCAUUCUACCUGUGGCAAACAAAACCACUUAUAUCAAUUUUUAAAAAAAUAUGUAAUUAAAUUUUCAGAGCAAAAGAACGUUUUUAAAAAGGCUCUGGAAAAGGCAAAAACUUUCUGGUAUGCAGUUUCCCAAGUCUUAAAAUGUUAGUCUUAGACAUCUCUGUGACGGGAAAAUGGUGAGGGAAAGUGCCCUUCAGGAUGUCACACGAGCACUAACUAUAAGGUUAUGAGAACCACAAGGCUGUGAGAUGAAGGCUUUUAUGAAAAACUUUGCAAAUCAGUUCCAUGAGCUCGAAAGCAAUGAUGGAUCAUCCAUUUUUAGGGCUUGAUAGGUUCUUUCUCAUUUAAUCCAAAGACACCUCUGUGAAAUAGAUUGUAUUUUAAUCAUUUUACAGAUGAGGAACUGAACCUGCAUGGCCAACAGGAGGAGGAGCUAGGGUUUAAACCCAGAUGGGUCUAACUCUUAAAGCCUGCCAUCAUUUCUGCGAUGCAGUCUGGUUGGAAUGAAGUCUGAGCAUGGGGGCCUGAUUUGGAACAUGAGGUAGGAACAUCUGUAGAGCACCUUUAACACCAAAAAGAACAUGCAGGUGCCAUCUUGCAGAAAACCAUGGGCAGAUUUCACAAAACCCAACAACUGGAAAAGCUGUUCAUACCUCACAGAACAGCCCUGUGCUUGGAGCGUGGCCUUACGCAUGGAUACGUAUAAAUUCUUUUCCUGCGAACCUGAAUUUCCCAUGUUUUACACCUAGUUAUAUCACUGAACUUCGCUCCUCACCUUCCUUCUUGUUUUCUGCGCAUGCUUCACUGGAG